ACUUUCAACUCUUUUAGCCACUCUUUCCCCCUACAGUUGGGUGGAAGUUAAGCAGGGUUGUGCCUGGUUAGUAUUUGGAUGGUAGACUGCCUGGGAAUACCAGGUUCUGUAAGCU
ensembl:rRNA 5S_rRNA 5S ribosomal RNA